UACGGAGGGUGCAAGCGUUAUCCGGAUUUAUUGGGUUUAAAGGGUCCGCAGGCGGACUUGUAAGUCAGGGGUGAAAGCCGGCAGCUUAACUGUCGAACUGCCUUUGAUACUGCAAGUCUUGAGUGAGGUUGAAGUAGCUGGAAUGAGUAGUGUAGCGGUGAAAUGCAUAGAUAUUACUCGGAACACCAAUUGCGAAGGCAGGUUACUAAGUCUUAACUGACGCUGAGGGACGAAAGCGUGGGGAGCGAAC
rnacentral:rRNA from 1 species